rnacentral:tRNA from 1 species
GGGAAGUGGCUCAGUUGGGAGAGCGCCGCGUUCGCAAUGCGGAGGUCGUGGGUUCGAAUCCCAUCUUCUCC